rnacentral:tRNA from 1 species
GUAUAGCUCAGUGGUAGAGCAUCUACAUUUUAUGCAGAUGGUUCUAUGUUUAAUCCCUGGCAUCUACA